UAGGGAAUCUUCCGCAAUGGACGCAAGUCUGACGGAGCAACGCCGCGUGAGUGAAGAAGGAUUUCGGUUCGUAAAACUCUGUUGUUAGAGAAGAACAGCGCAUAGAGUAACUGUUAUGCGUGUGACGGUAUCUAACCAGAAAGCCACGGCUAACUACGUGCCAGCAGCCGCGGUAAUACGUAGGUGACAAGCGUUGUCCGGAUUUAUUGGGCGUAAAGCGAGCGCAGGCGGUCAAUUAAGUCUGAUGUGAAAGCCCCCGGCUCAACCGGGGAGGGUCAUUGGAAACUGGUUGACUUGAGUGCAGAAGAGGAGAGUGGAAUUCCAUGUGUAGCGGUGAAAUGCGUAGAUAUAUGGAGGAACACCAGUGGCGAAGGCGACUCUCUGGUCUGUAACUGACGCUGAGGUUCGAAAGCGUGGGUAGCAAACAGG
rnacentral:rRNA from 1 species